AGAGUUUGAUCCUGGCUCAGGAUGAACGCUAGCUACAGGCUUAACACAUGCAAGUCGAGGGGCAGCAUGGUCUUAGCUUGCUAAGGCCGAUGGCGACCGGCGCACGGGUGAGUAACACGUAUCCAACCUGCCGUCUACUCUUGGACAGCCUUCUGAAAGGAAGAUUAAUACAAGAUGGCAUCAUGAGUCCGCAUGUUCACAUGAUUAAAGGUAUUCCGGUAGACGAUGGGGAUGCGUUCCAUUAGAUAGUAGGCGGGGUAACGGCCCACCUAGUCUUCGAUGGAUAGGGGUUCUGAGAGGAAGGUCCCCCACAUUGGAACUGAGACACGGUCCAAACUCCUACGGGAGGCAGCAGUGAGGAAUAUUGGUCAAUGGGCGAGAGCCUGAACCAGCCAAGUAGCGUGAAGGAUGACUGCCCUAUGGGUUGUAAACUUCUUUUAUAAAGGAAUAAAGUCGGGUAUGGAUACCCGUUUGCAUGUACUUUAUGAAUAAGGAUCGGCUAACUCCGUGCCAGCAGCCGCGGUAAUACGGAGGAUCCGAGCGUUAUCCGGAUUUAUUGGGUUUAAAGGGAGCGUAGAUGGAUGUUUAAGUCAGUUGUGAAAGUUUGCGGCUCAACCGUAAAAUUGCAGUUGAUACUGGAUAUCUUGAGUGCAGUUGAGGCAGGCGGAAUUCGUGGUGUAGCGGUGAAAUGCUUAGAUAUCACGAAGAACUCCAAUUGCGAAGGCAGCCUGCUAAGCUGCAACUGACAUUGAGGCUCGAAAGUGUGGGUAUCAAACAGGAUUAGAUACCCUGGUAGUCCACACGGUAAACGAUGAAUACUCGCUGUUUGCGAUAUACUGCAAGCGGCCAAGCGAAAGCGUUAAGUAUUCCACCUGGGGAGUACGCCGGCAACGGUGAAACUCGAAGGAAUUGACGGGGGCCCGCACAAGCGGAGGAACAUGUGGUUUAAUUCGAUGAUACGCGAGGAACCUUACCCGGGCUUAAAUUGCAGAUGAAUUACGGUGAAAGCCGUAAGCCGCAAGGCAUCUGUGAAGGUGCUGCAUGGUUGUCGUCAGCUCGUGCCGUGAGGUGUCGGCUUAAGUGCCAUAACGAGCGCAACCCUUGUUGUCAGUUACUAACAGGUUCUGCUGAGGACUCUGACAAGACUGCCAUCGUAAGAUGUGAGGAAGGUGGGGAUGACGUCAAAUCAGCACGGCCCUUACGUCCGGGGCUACACACGUGUUACAAUGGGGGGUACAGAGGGCCGCUACCACGCGAGUGGAUGCCAAUCCCAAAAACCUCUCUCAGUUCGGACUGGAGUCUGCAACCCGACUCCACGAAGCUGGAUUCGCUAGUAAUCGCGCAUCAGCCACGGCGCGGUGAAUACGUUCCCGGGCCUUGUACACACCGCCCGUCAAGCCAUGGGAGCCGGGGGUACCUGAAGUGCGUAACCGCGUGGAGCGCCCUAGGGUAAAACUGGUGACUGGGGCUAAGUCGUAACAAGGUAGCCG
rnacentral:rRNA from 1 species